GAGCUUAAUACAUGCAAGUCGAGGGGCAGCAGGUCCCGCAGCAAUGCGGGAUGCUGGCGACCGGCAAACGGGUGCGGAACACGUACGCAACCUUCCUUUAAGUGAGGAAUAGCCCAGGGAAACUUGGAUUAAUACCUCGUAACAUCAUGGAGUGGCAUCACUUUAUGAUUAUAGCUCAGGCGCUUAAAGAUGGGCGUGCGACUGAUUAGGUAGUUGGCGGGGUAACGGCCCACCAAGCCUGCGAUCAGUAACUGGUGUGAGAGCACGACCAGUCACACGGGCACUGAGACACGGGCCCGACUCCUACGGGAGGCAGCAGUAAGGAAUAUUGGUCAAUGGACGCAAGUCUGAACCAGCCAUGCCGCGUGGAGGAUGAAGGUCCUCUGGAUUGUAAACUUCUUUUAUCUGGGAAGAAACCCAUAUUUUCUAGUGUGGUUGACGGUACCAGAUGAAUAAGCACCGGCUAACUCCGUGCCAGCAGCCGCGGUAAUACGGAGGGUGCAAGCGUUAUCCGGAUUCACUGGGUUUAAAGGGUGCGUAGGCGGGUUGGUAAGUCCGUGGUGAAAUCCCCAAGCUUAACUUGGGAACUGCCGUGGAUACUAUCAAUCUUGAAUAUCGUGGAGGUAAGCGGAAUAUGUCAUGUAGCGGUGAAAUGCUUAGAUAUGACAUAGAACACCAAUUGCGUAGGCAGCUUACUACACGAUCAUUGACGCUGAGGCACGAAAGCGUGGGGAGC
rnacentral:rRNA from 1 species